UGGCAGCAGAAUAAAAGAAACGUGGCGUAUACCUGAAGCUGCGGUCUUUAUUUAUAAAAGAACUCAACAUAGUGUCAGAAGUUGGCGUGCUUGGAGGUUGGAAACAUCAACUUUGCAACCGGCUAGCCACUACGGAUGACCAAGCACAAGCAACACGGCUUCAGCACCAGGGACGGUGGUGGACCAGUCAUGCCUACAAUUCUGGUUUCCUUCUGGAAGGCUUCCAGGCAUCCUCCUCUCAGAGACGAUACCAGAUAACCUGGCUAAAGACCUCUCUCAACAACACUCCCACAGAUCUCAGGCUCCAUAACCGACAACCAUAAGGCUCCCUCAUGGGCUCUGCUUCAGCAACUCCUGUCCGCCCUCCGUUGAACCAAUCGUGGAAACUAAGCACUCCACACGGACCUGCUCGGACCCUGCCUAUCUCCCCCUAGCUCUUAUUACUCCUCCAUUAUGAGUAAGACUGACUCUCUAUUCAACAGACUUCCUCCUAGACUGUCAUUGUUUGCUGUGCUCACUGGUCUCCUCCUUGUAUUUCCUUCAGUGACUCACCCCCUCCUGAGCCAGUGGGCAUUUUCCAGACCACAUACUGCUUUGUUCUUGUUUUCAAUAAACCGUUAAGCUUUUA